AUACGGAGGGGGCUAGCGUUGUUCGGAAUUACUGGGCGUAAAGCGUGCGUAGGCGGACUGAUCAGUUGGGGGUGAAAUCCCAGGGCUUAACCCUGGAACUGCCUUCAAUACUGUCAGUCUUGAGAUUGGAAGAGGUGAGUGGAAUUCCUAGUGUAGAGGUGAAAUUCAUAGAUAUUAGGAGGAACACCAGUGGCGAAGGCGGCUCACUGGUCCAAUACUGACGCUGAGGUACGAAAGCGUGGGGAGCAAACAGGAUUAGAUACCCUAGUAGUCC
rnacentral:rRNA from 1 species